rnacentral:rRNA from 1 species
UGAGUACGAGCUGCUACGGCAGCGAAGUGGGUGAUGUCAUGCUUCCAAGAAAAGCCCUAUACCCGUUAAGGCAUGAUGGCCUGUACCCGAAACCGACACAGGUGGGGUGGUAGAGAAUACCGAGGGGCGCGAGGUAACUCUCUCUAAGGAACUCGGCAAAAUGGCCCCGUAACUUCGGGAGAAGGGGUGCCACCGCAAGGUGGUCGCAGUGAAGAGGCCCAGGCGACUGUUUACCAAAAACACAGGUCUCCGCUAAGUCGCAAGACGAUGUAUGGGGGCUGACGCCUGCCCAGUGCCGGAAGGUUAAGGAAGCUGGUCAGCGUAAGCGAAGCUAGCGACUGAAGCCCCGGUGAACGGCGGCCGUAACAAUAACGGUCCUAAGGUAGCGAAAUUCCUUGUCGGGUAAGUUCCGACCCGCACGAAAGGCGUAACGAUCUGGGCGCUGUCUCGGAGAGAGGCUCGGCGAAAUAGAAUUGUCUGUGAAGAUGCGGACUACGUGCACCCGGACAGAAAGACCCUAUGAAGCUUUACUGUAGCUUGGUAUUGUGCUCGGGCUCGGAAUGCGCAGGAUAGGUGGGAGGCUAUGAACCAUUGCUUGUGGGUGAUGGUGAGCCACUGGUGAGAUACCACUCUUUCCGAGCUAGAGUUCUAACAGCCACCCGUUAUCCGGGGGCUGGACAGUAUCAGGUGGGCAGUUUGACUGGGGCGGUCGCCUCCUAAAAGGUAACGGAGGCGCGCAAAGGUUUGCUCAGGCUGGUUGGAAAUCAGCCGACGAGUGUAAAAGCAGAAGCAAGCUUGACUGUGAGACCUACAAGUCGAACAGGGAGGAAACUCGGCUUUAGUGAUCCGACGGUUCUGCGUGGAAGGGCCGUCGCUCAACGGAUAAAAGUUACUCUAGGAUAACAGGCUGAUCUCCCCCAAGAGUUCACAUCGACGGGGAGGUUUGGCACCUCGAUGUCGGCUCAUCGCAACCUGGGGCUGAAGUCGGUCCCAAGGGUUGGGCUGUUCGCCCAUUAAAGCGGUACGCGAGCUGGGUUCAGAACGUCGUGAGACAGUUCGGUCCAUAUCCGGUGCAUGCGCAGGAAUAUUGAGAGGAUUUCUCCCUAGUACGAGAGGACCGGGAGGAACGCACCUCUGGUGUACCAGUUAUCGUGCCAACGGUAAACGCUGGGUAGCCAUGUGCGGAGAGGAUAACCGCUGAAAGCAUCUAAGUGGGAAGCCCACCUCAAGAUGAGUAUUCCCAUGGGGUAACCCAGUAAGGUCACGGGAAGAACACCCGUUGAUAGGCUCUACGUGGAAGCGCAGUAAUGUGUGAAGCGGAGGAGUACUAAUAGACCGAGGGC